GAAAGAUCAGUGUACAUAAUUAAGAAGCAAUGUUAUGCAUUCAAAAACACUAUUUAGUUCGGAGCUGUGGGAAAGUGUGACCAAGGCGAGCAGUAUCCCCAGUGCAAGUUGUCAUUGAAAGGGUCAAUCUGGAACUCCUGAUCUCAGACAAUUCAGUACGUUAUCAGCCUUUCUAAAAGGAGAAG